ACUAUCGGUGGUUCAGUGGUAGAAUGCUCGCCUGCCACGCGGGCGGCCCUAGUUCCAUUCCCGGCCGAUGCA